rnacentral:piRNA from 1 species
UUUCAGCUUUGGGUGCUGACGGUGG